rnacentral:rRNA from 1 species
GAAUAUUGGACAAUGGGCGAAAGCCUGAUCCAGCCAUGCCGCGUGAGUGAUGAAGGCCCUAGGGUUGUAAAGCUCUUUCACCGAUGAAGAUAAUGACGGUAGUCGGAGAAGAAGCCCCGGCUAACUUCGUGCCAGCAGCCGCGGUAAUACGAAGGGGGCUAGCGUUGUUCGGAAUUACUGGGCGUAAAGCGCACGUAGGCGGAUUGUUAAGUGAGGGGUGAAAUCCCAGGGCUCAACCCUGGAACUGCCUUUCAUACUGGCAAUCUCGAGUCCGGAAGAGGUGAGUGGAAUUCCGAGUGUAGAGGUGAAAUUCGUAGAUAUUCGGAGGAACACCAGUGGCGAAGGCGGCUCACUGGUCCGGUACUGACGCUGAGGUGCGAAAGCGUGGGGAGCAAACAG